UACAGCCACACACACACACACACGCACACUGCAAUCACACGUAGCAGCGGUAAACAGGCUGACCACAGGCGGCCGACCGGAUCGGAACAGUCACCAAGCAACAGGACAGUGGCAGAACAGCGGCGAAACAGCGGCGAAGCAGCGGCGAAACAGCGGCGAAGCAGCGGCCAAAUAGCCGUGGUUAAUCAGCUGUAUGUACACUUGGCGUUGACGUUAGCCUUAGCGUUAGCGCUAGCGUUAGCUUUAGCGCUAGCGUUAGCUUUAAAGUUCCAGUUAUAAGUCCGGGUGCAUUGGCAUCCCGUCCAAAGAGGGAGAGGGGUGAAGAAUUCAGGCGUGGCAGGGAAAACAGCCACCAUGCAGCACACAACCAGCAGACAAUGCUCUGGUUGCGGCAAUAAACACCGCCCCGACUGAUCGGCUCGACCGCGGUGAAGACGCCGGAUCUGUGCUCGGAUGCUAGCGGCACAUACAACGACCCGGAAGCGAGAGAUCAGGAGGAGGGACACAGCCUACUUUUCUCCACUCGCUGUACAUCCAGACGACCACGCUGACCAUCUCCAUGAACCUGAGCGUGUCCGUAGCUCUGGGGCUGCUCUACAUGCCCAAAGUCUACGUCAUCAUCUUCCACCCAGAGCUCAACGUACAGAAGAGGAAACACUCGCUCAAGGCCGUUGCCACAGCCGCCGCCAUGUCGUCCCGACUGUCGCACAAAGUCAGCGAGUGACCCAACGGAGAGGCCAAGACAGAGCUGUGUGAGAACAUGGAGGCCAUCAUUGAGUCACAUGACAUCUGAAGAAGACAGAGAUGAAACAUGAUGACAUCACCAUGUAUAACAUCCAAUAAUAAUCCACGAGUAACUGACUGAGCAGUGAAGAAGAGACGCGUGAAUGACGACCUUGUGAUGUAACAGCACAGAGACAGUGAGACGGUGAGACGUGUCUUCUGCUCACAGACUGAAAACCAGACCUGCUUCACGUCAGACGCUGCAGCAUAGCAUCAUGGGACUUUUCCUCUGGAGCCCACAGAUGCUGUGACGUCGUUUAGAGAAUGACAAAAAAGGGUCACAUAGGGUCACGUAUUUCCCAACAUGCCCCCGCCCGCUGGAGCCACGCCUCCUGUUGUCUUGUCUUCUGAUGUACUUGCAACCGUGUGUUCAUGUUUCUGUGUCGUUAAUGUUUGUUUUUAUCCAUGACGUUGAUGAUGAAGAUGAUGAAGAUGCAGUCAUGUAACACUUCCAGGACUCAUGUUUCUUGUUGUGAUGCGGUGUCAUUUGUGUUCUGCUGAGUCAUGUGACACCUGACCUCUGGUCUGGAGGCAACGCCAUGACUAAAUCAAAAUUAAGUCCAUCAUAAUGAGUCCAUCAUUUGCAGCUGUUUUGUCGUAAACAGAUGUUGUCAAUCAGCUAAAUGCUGUUGAAUGACCUUUAACCUUUGGUCUUUCUAUGUUUCAUCAGUUGUUUUUGUAUCUUGUUUUGACCUGAUGAUGAUCACAUGACUCUUGGAGCUUCUCGUGUUAUGGAAGGGUUCAAAAACUUUAUUUACAAUUGUAAUUGUAAUUUUUUUUAAUAGAAUAAUUGGCUAUAGAAUAAAUUCCCAGAAAAUAUAGAAGGAAAACUUCCUUAAAAAGGGAAGUAUAUCCAUGUUCCAGGUGUUCCAGGUUGUUGGUCACUGCAUGUCUGAUGUGUUUGAUGGUCAGCUGACAGAAUAUGACUUUGAUCUGUUUCUUAUUUUCCCAGAGAAAAAUAUAAAACUCUAUAUUUAAAAUGGGUUGUGAUAUAAAAACAGAAGCAUGUAUGUUUUCUACCGUUUGUAUUUUCAUGUCGCUGCUUCACUGCUGAUGUUGUGGGACAAAUGUUUCCAUCUUCUGUGCUGUGGUCUUUUUUACUUGUGUCUCAAAUACCAAAAGAAAACCUUUUGGUAUUUGUGUCUUUUUCACUCAACGGCCUUGACUGAUAUUUAAUUAUUGAUCUCUUCCUCUUCAUGAUGAAGCAUCGGUGGAUUUGUACAUGAUCAUCUUUUGCCUGACAAGAAAAAAAGUCUUCUUUUUUCUUCGUUUGCUUGACUGAGU